GUGAUAUUAUACUGGACUCGAAAAACUCCUAAUUAUGGUUAGCUGCUCAGCUUGUGGAAUUUCUUACAACGCUAAACAUCAAAAAGGAAAGCUGACUUUUCAUGCAUUUCCGAAAAAUGUUGGAAGAAGAAAUGCUUGGAUUAAUUGUGUUAGAAAUACAAAACCAGAAUGGAUUCCGAAGAAGAGGAGUGUUCUAUGCUCACUUCAUUUCACUGAAGAGUGUUUCGAUUGUACCUCUCGAGUCAAAGUGAGAUUACAACCAUCUGCUGUUCCAACCAUUGAAGUUGACAGACUUAAAUACGUGUCGCGAUACAAUCCACUGAAUUUGAAGCCAAUAAGUGGAAGCAAUUUCGAAACUGUUAUGGUUACUACACAUGAACCAUCUACGCCUGCUGAAAUUUCAAAGCACCAUUUUUUAUUAUGUAAUGAACCUAGUGCUUCAUCUGCAAAAACUCCUCCAUCAUCGCCCCCCAAAGAUACGAAUUUAGAAGACACCCCCCGGAAAAGAAGUUUAAAGAGAAAAAUUAAUGAAUUAUAUAAAGUAAACGAUGUAAAGAGUAAAAAACUCAGAAAAUUGCAAAAAGCUAUGUGGAAAAAGAAAAAAUGGAUUUCAUCUCAUAAGAUCUUGGCUUCCGAAUUAAAAAAAAAAAAUUUGAUGCUUGAAGAACACAGUAACCUUAUG